AGUUCUCUUCGUAGGGUACAGAGGUAAGAUGUUCUAUCUUUCAGACCUUUUGUUUCACGUUAUUGGAUUUGGCUGAUUCAGCUGCCUCGAUCUUCAAAUAAGGUCGGGGCGUUUUUUU
rnacentral:other from 1 species